GACGAACGCUGGCGGCGUGCUUAACACAUGCAAGUCGAACGGAAAGGCCCUGCUUUUGUGGGGUGCUCGAGUGGCGAACGGGUGAGUAACACGUGAGUAACCUGCCCUUAACUUUGGGAUAACUUCAGGAAACUGGGGCUAAUACCGGAUAGGAGCUCCUGCUGCAUGGGGGGGGUUGGAAAGUUUCGGCGGUGGGGGAUGGACUCGCGGGUUAUCAGCUGGUUGGUGGGGUAGUGGCUGACCAGGGCUUUGACGGGUAGCCUGCAUGAGAGGGUGAACGGCCACAAGGGGACUGAGGGAGGGAGCAGAAGGCAACGGGAGGCAGCGGGCGGGAAUAUUGCACAAUGGCGGGAAGUCUGAUGUAGCAACGCCGCGUGCGGGAUGAUGUGUUUCGGGUUGUAAACCGCUUUGGCCUGUGACGAAGCGUGAGUGACGGUAAUGGAUAAAGAAGCACCGGCUAACUACGUG
rnacentral:rRNA from 1 species